rnacentral:lncRNA from 1 species
GGGUAGAAUAAAUAUAGCACAAGUCUCAAGGGAAGUGGUCUUUGAACCAGUUUUACCCCCAGCAUCACAAGUUUUAAUAAAAGAAGUUGUAUCCCCAGCAGACAGAACAAAGGGAUGACAUUUGUGCUCAGAAAAGCAAAGAGCCAUUAUCAUCCCCAGCAGCUUCCAGAAGAAUGAAGCAUCGAUUUGAAGGGAUAAAACUCCCCAGCAGCGUUAUCCUCAACAACGUUAUCCCAAGAAGAUAACACUUUUAUCCCCAGCAGUGUUGAAAAAACCAAAAAAAAAAUUGAAUUUGAAGGAGGGGAAGAAAGGAGACUCCCACAGUGGUAUUAUCCUCAGCAAGCAAGAACAAAGCAGUGCAAAGGAAAAAGAAAAGAAAAGAAGAAAUUACGAAGGUAAGUUUCUCAAAUCAUUGAUCUUUACAUUUUCCUCCUAGGAUAAAAGUCCUAAUCUGAUGAAUUUCCUUUCCGAUACAAUCUUGGUCCGAUGAAAUUUUUCUCCCAAGAUAAGAUAUCAAAUCUUAGUCCGAUGAAUUUUUCUCCUAAGAUAUCAAAUCUUAGUCCGAUGAAUCUUUCUCCUAAGAUAGAAAUCUUAGUCCGAUGAAAUUUUCUCCUAAGAUAUCAAAUCUUAGUCCGAUGAAUCUUUCUCCUAAGAUCACAACAAAAUGGACCUAGUUUGACGAUUUAUCUCCUAGAGUCACAAUCUUGGUCCGAUGGAAUUUUCUCCUAAGAUAUCAAAUCUUAGUCCGAUGAAUCUUUCUCCUAAGAUCACAACAAAAUGGACCUAGUUUGACGAUUUAUCUCCUAGAGUCAAAAUCUUGGUCUGAUGGAAUUUUUCUCCCAAGAUAAUAUAAUAAAAUCUUAG